CUCACAUUGGCGGAAAAUAUUCUAAAAUUGGAACCAUACAGAGAAUGAUUAUCCUGUCCCAUACUGAAGGAUGAAAAGCAAAUUCAGGAAGUAUUCCAUAUUUUA